AGGGCGUAUGGAGGAUGCCUUGGCUCUUGAAGCCGAUGAAGGACGUGAUAGGCUGCGAUAAGCUACGGGGAGGUGCCGAAUAACCUGCAAUCCGUAGAUUUCCGAAUGGGGAAACCCGGUCCGUUGAAGACGGAUCAUCGAAAGAAGUAAACCCGGAGAACUGAAACAUCUAAGUACCCGGAGGAAUAUAAAACAAAUCAGUGAUUCCCUCAGUAGUGGCGAGCGAACGGGGAACAGCCCAAACUUCAAAGGUUACGGCCUUUGGAGGGUUGUAGGACUGCAACGUGGACUAUAGUUUUGAAGUGGAAAUUAUCUGGAAAGAUAAUAUCAUAGAGGGUGAUAAUCCCGUACACAAAUCAAAAUUAUUACCUAGCAGUAUCCUGAGUAGCACGGAACACGUGAAAUUCUGUGUGAAUCUGCCAGGACCAUCUGGCAAGGCUAAAUACUUACAAGAGACCGAUAGUGUACCAGUACCGUGAGGGAAAGGUGAAAAGAACCGCGAACAGCGGAGUGAAAUAGACCUGAAACCAUACGCCUACAAGCUAUAGGAGUUCAAGCUUAGUAGCAAUACUAAGCAGCGAAUGACUAUGUGCCUUUUGCAUAAUGAGCCUACGAGUUACUCCUCACUGGCAAGGUUAAGGACCAAAGGUCCGCAACCGUAGCGAAAGCGAGUCCUAACAGGGCGAAUAGUCAGUGGGGGUAGACGCGAAACCUUGUGAUCUAUCCAUGGUCAGGAUGAAGGACCGGUAACACGGUCUGGAGGUCCGAACUGAUAAGCGUUGAAAAGCUUCCGGAUGAACUGUGGAUAGGGGUGAAAGGCUAAUCAAACUAGGAAAUAGCUCGUACUCUCCGAAAUGUUUUGAGGAACAGCCUCGAGUGUAGUGUUAUAGAGGUAGAGCUACCGAUAGAGUCAGGGACCUUCACCGGUUACCGAGCUCUGACGAACUCCGAAUACUGUAACAUGAUCACCGGGAGUGAGCCCGCGGGUGCUAAGGUCCACGGGCGAGAGGGAAACAACCCAGACCAUCAGCUAAGGUCCCCAAAUGUAUGCUAAGUUGAUUUAAUGAAGUCCAAUGGCACUGACAGCCAGGAUGUUGGCUUGGAAGCAGCCAUUCAUUCAAAGAGUGCGUAACAGCUCACUGGUCGAGCCAUUGGGCGCAGACAAUAAACGGGCAUCAAGCAUACUACCGAAGCUAUGGAUUCUAUAAGCAAUUAUAGAGUGGUAGGAGAGCAUUCCAAUUACUGCGAAGGUGAAGCGUAAGCUUUGCUGGAGUAUCUGGAAAAGCAAAUGUAGGCAUAAGUAACGAUAAAUUCUGUGAAAAACAGAGUCGCCAAUAGUCUAAGGUUUCCUGAUCAACGCUAAUCGGAUCAGGGUUAGUCGGGUCCUAAGGUGUAUCCAAACGGAGAAGCCGAUGGCCAACUGGUUAAUAUUCCAGUACUAACGUAUACUGCUAUGGAGAGACGGAGAAGUGAAAGGUCUGCGCCGCAACGGAUGUUGGCGUUAAAGCCCGUAGAUAUAAGUGCUGUUGGCAAAUCCGCAGCGCUUGUCGAAGGUGAUAGUACUGAGAGGCUUCGGCUAAUCAGAUAAUGACCCUAAUCAGGCUCCCAAGAAAAUCUUCUAUGCUUCAGGUAUACGCUACCCGUACCGCAAACCGACACAGGUAGACAAGAAGAAUAUUCUAAGGCGCUCGAGUGACCCAUGGCUAAGGAACUAGGCAAAUUGACACUGUAACUUCGGGAGAAAGUGUCCCCUGAUUUAAUACUCAGGGGUUCAAUGAAAUGAUCCAGGCGACUGUUUAUCAAAAACACAGGGCUCUGCUAAAUCGAUCGAAAGAUGAUGUAUAGGGCCUGACACCUGCCCGGUGCCGGAAGGUUAAGGAGAGAAGUCAGGAGUAAUCCAAAGCUUUGAACCGAAGCCCCGGUAAACGGCGGCCGUAACUAUAACGGUCCUAAGGUAGCGAAAUUCCUUGUCGGGUAAGUUCCGACCUGCACGAAUGGUGUAACGAUCUGGGCACUGUCUCAGCCAUGAGCUCGGUGAAAUUGUAGUCUCGGUGAAGAUGCCGAGUACCCGCAACGGGACGGAAAGACCCCGUGCACCUUUACUGCAACUUUGUAUUGAUUUCGAAUAAAUGAUGCGUAGCAUAGGUGGGAGACUUUGAUGCCCUGAUUCUGGUUGGGGCUGAGUCACCAGUGAAAUACCACCCUUCGUUUAUUUGAGAUCUAACCCCUGCAAAACAGGGGGACAGUGCAUGGUGGGUAGUUUGACUGGGGUGGUCGCCUCCAAAAGAGUAUCGGAGGCUCCCAAAGGUGUGUUCAGUACGCUUGGUAACCGUACGUAGAGUGCAAUAGCAUAAACACGCUUGACUGUGAGGCCUACAAGCCGAGCAGGUACGAAAGUAGGGUAUAGUGAUCCGGUGGUUCCGCAUGGAAGGGCCAUCGCUCAUAGGAUAAAAGGUACGCCGGGGAUAACAGGCUGAUCCCUCCCAAGAGCUCAUAUCGACGGGGGGGUUUGGCACCUCGAUGUCGGCUCGUCACAUCCUGGGGCUGGAGAAGGUCCCAAGGGUUCGGCUGUUCGCCGAUUAAAGUGGCACGCGAGCUGGGUUCAGAACGUCGUGAGACAGUUCGGUCCCUAUCUGUUGUGGGCGUUAGAAAAUUGAGUGGACCUGACUCUAGUACGAGAGGACCGAGUCGGACGUACCGCUAGUGUACCAGUUGUCACGCCAGUGGCACCGCUGGGUAGCUAUGUACGGAUGAGAUAAGCGCUGAAAGCAUCUAAGUGCGAAACUCGCCUCAAGAUAAGAUUUCUUUAAAGGGUCGUAGAAGAUUACUACGUUGAUAGGUUGUAAGUGUAAAGACAGUAAUGUCAAAGCUGAGCAAUACUAAUUACCCGUUAGCUUUUUUAC
rnacentral:rRNA from 1 species